GCGAUAAUAAAAUUGUGUGGAUAUGUUCUUUGUUCAAAACCAUUGACUGUCAUUAUCUGACAACAGUAUCAUAUAUCGACACAUAGAAACAAGAUAGCCUCAAAAUAAUCACUCGAAUGGUUCUAUAGGGAAUGUCUUGCGUAUUAUGGCCAAAGUAAAAAGGGAGCUAAGCGAAUAUAGAGUUAUAAGCAAGAAGGCAAUCCAAGAACGGACGCCACGCUUUGUGAUUCGCAUAAUACUCGUAUGCAUCCAUAUGCGAAUGAACAGUUUAAUGGCUCUGUAAUAAUUUUAUUGCAUUUCCGUUUCUUUUAAAUUUGCAAAAUCGACAAAAAAAAUAAAACGCAAAUUGUCAUACCUUUACAAAACCACUAGGGAUCCUUGCUAUACGUACGAUACACAAUACAAAUCAAAAAUGUAAUUAUCGUGAUAAUAAUCAAUUCGUAAAAAUCAAGAGCGAUUUUAAAAUUUUCUGUGUGAAAAAUUUCUCUUCCUAUUAUUUCUCUAAACUUUUGAAAAUAUCUGCGUUUUGCGCGUUAACUUCAGUUUUAAAAUAAUUUUCAGAAUAUUUCUUAAAUGUCUUUUAAAUAAUUUUAUUCUUAUUUAGAAAUUUAUAUACGACCGCGAUGAUAGAAAUGUAAAGAAAAGACUUGCUGUACCCAAGCAGAACAGAAAAUCAUAAUAAUAUCAAAAUGACAUCACAAUGACUAUCAAAAGUCAUUAUAAUGUCAGUUCGAUGUCAUUUUGAUGUUAUUGUGAUUUUCUGUUUCGCUUGGGUAGAAAUGUAUAUCUGUCGUACCAUAAAUUGUAACGUUUGUGGAAUCUUUACGAAGGAGUCGAGAGAAUUUCUUUCUACGAGAGACAAUGUUUACACGUCACCCUUAAGCGGGUUUAAUAAUAUUCGUAGUUUUAAAAUUGACCAAUCACGAUUAUUCCUCUGAAGAAAGGAAUGACUGUGAUUGGCCAGUUUUAGAACUAUUCUUAUUAAAUUCGAUUAAAACUGACGUAUAAACGUAGUCAAUGUCUCAUUUAUCGAACAAACCGGUCUCAUUUAUCAUAAUAUCACAAAAAUGUUUAAAAAGUAUAACAAUACGUAUCUUACAAGCGAGAGUAACAACACAACAACAAUGUACAAAUGCGCGCAAAUAUAAUAUCUAAAGAAGCAUUCUCGCGACCAACAAUAUAUGUAUAGACGAGUAUCUUCCUCACUUUGCAAUUUGCAGCGUGCGUUUUCAUAUUUACAAAUACAAGAGAGAGAGAGAGAGAAAGAGAUAGUAUAUAUGAGCCGAGCGAUAUUGUAGUUAAUGGCAAACACGUGACGAUUUGUUGCCAUUAGAAAAAAUAAUUAAUAUAGGAAAUAUAUUCUGGCAAUGAUCUUUUAAA